AUUGAACGCUGGCGGCAUGCCUUACACAUGCAAGUCGAACGGCAGCACGGGAGCUUGCUCCUGGUGGCGAGUGGCGAACGGGUGAGUAAUACAUCGGAACGUACCCAGGAGUGGGGGAUAACGUAGCGAAAGUUACGCUAAUACCGCAUAUUCUGUGAGCAGGAAAGCGGGGGAUCGCAAGACCUCGCGCUCUUGGAGCGGCCGAUGUCGGAUUAGCUAGUUGGUGAGGUAAAAGCUCACCAAGGCGACGAUCCGUAGCAGGUCUGAGAGGAUGAUCUGCCACACUGGGACUGAGACACGGCCCAGACUCCUACGGGAGGCAGCAGUGGGGAAUUUUGGACAAUGGGGGCAACCCUGAUCCAGCCAUGCCGCGUGAGUGAAGAAGGCCUUCGGGUUGUAAAGCUCUUUCGGCGGGGAAGAAAUGGCAACGGCUAAUACCCUGGGGUCAUGACGGUACCGUAAGAAUAAGCACCGGCUAACUACGUGCCAGCCGCCGCAGUAACAC
rnacentral:rRNA from 1 species